AAAAAUUAAGAUAACGUGUGCACAAAAAUUAUAAAUUAAAUAAAAUAAAAUGUUUUAAAUACUAAAAUUAAGUAAUUUGACAAAUGAUGUGUGCGAAAUAUGGCGGAAGAGCGCUAAAUAGUACGGGAUUUCCUGAACCAUAAGUGAAUUUACGUGAUAAAUAAUAUAUUUUCGAUUUUGUACCAUAAUAUGUAUGUGUUGCUAUGAGAUUUACUGUUCCAAGUGCGAUUUAUAUUAAACUCUUUUUUUCGUAUUAUUAUUCAAAGUCUACAAAAUUGCUAUUCGAAACUUUUUUAAAGUUUCAAUUGCCGCUGAUUCUGAUAUAAUUUUGUAUAUACUUUCCGACAACAUAAAAUAUUCACAGUCUAAUCUAAGUCUCGGUUUUAUAUUUUUAUAGCACUGUUAAAUCCUUUAAAAAAAAGAUUAGAUCGCGGGGAGAUUGUACGUAAUUUAUUUAAAGCAAUUCACAACAUUUUGUUACCUAGCAAAGCAAUUCAUGCUUAUCGAUUGAGAGAUUGAGAUUAAAUGUCUCACUUGAAUACUGUAUAGGUGUUUGCUUGAUUGGAGAACGCGAUUAAUGAACUAAAAUUUAACGUAAUUAGUUUCAACGACAAUUGAUCUAAAGGCGUUAAAAUAUGUUUAUGUUUUAUUAUGUUUGUAUGUACAGUUUGUAGAUAGAGAUUAAAACAAAAGAGCUACAUUAUUGCCAGAAGCUAUUAGAAUUAUGACAAGAUGUGAGUCAUAGUAUGAGGAGUAAAAAAAUAUCUUAAAAUUCAAAUAUGGUUCAGGCUCAUAAACCGUACUAAAAUUGCAAUUAUGAGUACAUUACUUAAUGAAAUUAAAUAUUAAUAUACAUAUUAUGUAAGUAUAUUUAUAAUGUCAUAUUUUGUUAAUAUGAAAAUAUAUGCAAUAUAAAAUAUAUAUUAUUAAAAAUUAUUAGUGAUUAUAUUGUUUUAGCUCAAAGAUUAUAAAUAUUGUAAGACUUUAAUAUUAUACUAAAAUCAAGAAAUAUUGUUAAAUACAUCGAAAGCGUUCAUAAAAAUUCUUUUGAACAAAUAUAAAAUAUUUGAUAGCCGCAAAGAAGUCACAAAUAAAUUUUAAUAAAACACAUUUUUAAAUACACCAAAAGCGUUAAAGUAUUUUGUACUUAUUGAUUUUCAUUUGGCUCGUAAAUUGGAAAAAUAAGUAAAAUUUUAAUUUUCGUUUACGAAAUAUCAAUAAAUCACAUAUGCAUACAUAAAUGCUAUGAACAUCAAAUGAGUUUGUUUAUAUAAACGAAAUGAAAAACCAAAUUAGUCCAACAAAAAAAAUAAACAAACACGGACAGUUGUACUUAAGUUUCAAAGAGAAAAUAAUUUAGAGCUUACUGAAAAAUCUCAUCGGUUUUGUAUGUUAUAUAUAUAGGCAAUAUUUCGAACACGUUUAACAAUUAAAUGCCUAGUGGUUUAAGACAAUAUGCACACAAAAAAUGGAAUUCGCGUAUUUGAAUACAAUUAAUAUUUAAACUGUUAAUUAGUUUUUAGUUUUACUUAAAAUGGUAAUGAUAAACACACCACAAUAUGUAUAUAAUAACUAUAUAUCUAAAAUGAGUGAUUUACAAUGUACACUUUAACAUUUUUUUUGUUGUUUUUUGUGUGUAUCAUAUGUAUGUGUAUGUUAUCUCUAUUUGUAGUAAAUAGUUUCGUUUUGUUGGAUUUUUUUAAAUUUCUCUCGUUAUUUACUCUUUCCAAAAACAUACACCAUAUACAUAUAUAGCUUUGCGUUUAAAUAUAUACAUCCAUGAAAAAUCUUUCCCAAAAAUAACUUUGUUUAAUAUAAAUGAAGCCUUUAAAAAUGAGUUUAUAUUUUUAUAUAUGCAGUAUAUAAUAUAUAGCUUCUCUGUAUGUAUUAUGUAUAUAUAGUAUACAUAUUUUAGCAUGUAUACUACAGCUUUUAUGUGAAUACGACGCCAGUAUUUAAGUAAAUAGUAGCGAUAGUUGCAUUUGUUCCGCUGCUUUUAGCUCUAUAUACUGUUACUUUCACCAUUUUUUACUGUUUACUUAUCGCUCGCGUUGGCUGUUCUAUUAUGUUGUUUGUUUCCUUCGUGUAUGAAAACUUAGUUAUAAAUAUAACACGUCGCUAAAUAAAUUGCAUGUUCUCGUUUAAAACAUUUUUUUUUUUACUAUUUACGCAGUAAAUUAUUUACGAACUGUUGCUUUUUAGUUAUUUCAAUUUUAGUUUAUACAUUUUUCUUUUAUUUUGCACUUUUUAACUAACGCACAAAAAACGCAAAAUGCUUCAAAGUUGUUAACGUUGCUGUUCAUCCAACUCUUCAGGUACACUCACACAUUUAGGCGAUGGCGGCGAGACUGGUGUGGGCGGCGUCUUAUUAGCAGCCGGACCAACUGUUGGCUCAAUUUGUCGCAAUGUCUCAUCGACACCAUACUUUUCAUCCUCAUCGAAAUAAUCGCUAAAAUCGUUGAGCUGUUGUUCGAAAUUUACCAUGGCUUCUUCGUAGGUGCCAUUAUUACCACCAUAUUCGACGGGCAGAUACUCCUUGCCAAUUGCCUUAUGCAGUGACUCCAGCGUAGAGUGUAUGUGGAGCUGUGCAAAUGAUAUACGAACAAUAAGUAUUAGAAAUUGAACCGAAAUAGCCGCCAGUACCAAUGUGUACACCCGACUAAUGGAAAAGAAAAUCUGCUAUAAAUUAACGGAUUAAUCUAGUUUUUUGUCUGUGGUCUGUGCAUAUUCUCACGAAAUUUAAAAGUACUUAAGUUGAAACUAAUCUGCAUUUUAUCUCAUCAUUUAAAAAUAAAGUUUAAGUUCAAUCUCAAAAGCUUGCGUGUGUCAAAAAAGUGAUAAUAUAUUAAACAUGCUGUUCUGGUAGACGUAUGCUUUAUAGCUUAAGUUUAUGUGUCAUUAAAUAUUUCAAACUUCUACUUAUUA